rnacentral:tRNA from 1 species
GGUUUUAUAGUCAAUAUAUGAUAUUAGACUGCAAUUCUAAAGUAGUAAUUUUUACUAAAACCU